AUUGGACAAUGGGCGCAAGCCUGAUCCAGCCAUGCCGCGUGCAGGAUGACGGUCCUAUGGAUUGUAAACUGCUUUUAUACGAGAAGAAACACUGCUUCGUGAAGCAGCUUGACGGUAUCGUAAGAAUAAGGAUCGGCUAACUCCGUGCCAGCAGCCGCGGUAAUACGGAGGAUCCAAGCGUUAUCCGGAAUCAUUGGGUUUAAAGGGUCCGUAGGCGGUUUAAUAAGUCAGUGGUGAAAGCCCAUCGCUCAACGGUGGAACGGCCAUUGAUACUGUUAAACUUGAAUUAUUAGGAAGUAACUAGAAUAUGUAGUGUAGCGGUGAAAUGCUUAGAGAUUACAUGGAAUACCAAUUGCGAAGGCAGGUUACUACUAAUGGAUUGACGCUGAUGGACGAA
rnacentral:rRNA from 1 species